rnacentral:tRNA from 1 species
GCUGUAGUGGUUCAGUGGUAGAAUUCUCAUCUUCCAUAUGGGAGAUCUGGGUUCAAUUCCUGGUCAACGCA